rnacentral:lncRNA from 1 species
GUAAGUGAAAUAUAAUGAGAGUAUAUCCAUGAGGUGUUCUUUCCUUGUGUCUUCCUUGGUCUAGGCAACCCCGUCUUUGGCUCUAGACCUCACAACUGACAGUGUUUCUGAUUCUGUUUUUCUGGCUUGGCCUUGGAGCCCUACCUUCAGGACAUGCUUUGAGUUCUCAGCUCUGUGUGUGGCCAUCAAGAUUAAGAGAAAUGCUUGUGUUCCCUAUCUCUCCCUGCCUGGGAUCCUCCUCCAGAAGAGACAGACUUAGCAGAUGUCCAAAAGACAGAUCCUCAGAAAAUCAGAGACCACGACAGAUUAAAUGCAAGAAAUUUAUUAUGGAAAACACCUGUGGAAGAAAAUGGGGCAGGAGCUGGGAGAGACCGAGAGGACCACUGGAUAGUGAUGCAGGUCUGACUCUAAGUGAAGGAGCGAGAAGGAAGGAGUUCUAGGUGGAAGCGUCUUAGACCACAGUGCAGCUCUAAGGAGAAUUUGGCAAGGCCACUGAGGAGUCUUUGAGCCAAAGUUGUCCAUGAGAAGAGUACCACUUAUCCCAGGAAAAAGCCUGUCCUAAAGUCCCUUCUGUGCUCAGUCGCUGGCCAGGAGCAGCCUGUGGGAAGUGAGGCCUGGGAGUGAAGGGCAAGGGAUUUCAAAGCUGAGCAUGGACUUCAGAGUUCAGCAGCUGAGCUGUUGGUGCAUUCCCCCAGCUGGAGAUCUGAGAAGCGCAUUCUCACAGCCACACACCUUCCCCGCUCAGCACUAUGUACAGAAGAAGGAUGAUUCUACAAUCUAAAAAGGAAAAAAGUAGAGUGCUACUACCAUUUGAAAGGGUAAGGGUGUUGAGCAGGCAAGACAAUUUCCAGGUUACAGUGUCCCACUUGUAAUUCAAACUCUACAGUCCAAACCUGAACUAAUGACUUCUCCAUGCUCUGGAGUCAUCCUCUUCCCUGUUCUCAUUGUUACUGAUGUGCUCAGCCCCUCAUUACAUCUUGCCUGAACUAUUGUGGAAUUCUUCAAUUGGUCAUUCUG